GAUGAACGCUGGCGGCGUGCCUAAUACAUGCAAGUCGAGCGAACAGAUGAGGAGCUUGCUCCUCUGACGUUAGCGGCGGACGGGUGAAUAACACGUGGAUAACCUACCUAUAAGACUGGGAUAACUUCGGGAAACCGGAGCUAAUACCGGAUAAUAUAUUGAACCGCAUGGUUCAAUAGUGAAAGACGGUUUUGCUGUCACUUAUAGAUGGAUCCGCGCCGCAUUAGCUAGUUGGUAAGGUAACGGCUUACCAAGGCAACGAUGCGUAGCCGACCUGAGAGGGUGAUCGGCCACACUGGAACUGAGACACGGUCCAGACUCCUACGGGAGGCAGCAGUAGGGAAUCUUCCGCAAUGGGCGGAAGCCUGACGGAGCAACGCCGCGUGAGUGAUGAAGGUCUUCGGAUCGUAAAACUCUGUUAUUAGGGAAGAACAAAUGUGUAAGUAACUAUGCACGUCUUGACGGUACCUAAUCAGAAAGCCACGGCUAACUACGUG
rnacentral:rRNA from 1 species